GGAAGGUUGACUUAAAAGGAUGUAAUGCUCCUGUAUUUCCAGACCUCUGUGAUCUUGGGAAAGACCUACAGUAGCCUUCUAAGCCAUUCGCUGAGGAAACUCAGCCUGGAAGCUGAAUCUGUUGCUCUGGGAAGCUUAUCCUGCUGUUAAAAUAACAUGGAGCUGGACUCAACAAACGGUCCUGUGCUGCUUUGAACUGGGUGAUCACACAGGGAAAGGAGUGUCUUCUCUAGCUCAGGCUACUUCCUUGCGGUGUCACAAGGAGCGAAUGGAGAAACCUUUGGAUUCCUCAAUCAGCCAAAUGACACAGAAAGGGAAGUAAGGAAAUAUAAAUGACAAGAACUGAACCUAUACUGAAAAUCCAUCUGGAUCCUACUUAACUCGAAGGUGACCAUGACUCUUCCAUAAAAGACAUGACCAGACCAGAACAAAUGCAGAAGUGCAGAGGAAGAAAAAGGGGGUGAGGGGGAAGGAAGGCAAUACAAGGUUUGAAUGAGAUAAAAAAGAUGCUGUUGCUUUUCAUGAUUG